rnacentral:lncRNA from 1 species
CAAGAAACAACAGAAAAUAAACCAAAAAUAUACAGAAAAAUCAUAGAAAUAGUUUUGAAGAACACUGGUUAAACUUAAAGGCUGUUGACUAUGCAUCAUAAAUACUUGUGAAUGGUUUAACUUUCUUCUGAGCUUCAUGUCAAACUCUCAAGCUGUAAGCCUGACGCUGGAAGAUCUGAUUUACUAGGCCUAGAUCACAAAGCCCCACUACAGGUACUACAGAACUGAAAAAGAGACUGUCUGCCCCACUCUGGUUUUCAGUGUAGAAACAAAGGCCCUGCUGGUAAACUUUCUUGGAACCACAAAGGAAUAAGAAGAACAUUUGAAUAUUGACAACUAAAACAAAUGCUCACUGUAAUCCACUCUCUCAAUUGUUCAGCAUUGACACUAUUCUUCUUUUCAUAUUAGAGUUCAGAAAAGAAUCCCAUACUGUAGCAGAAGGCAACUGUGUCUCAUGUAUACUUAUACUCUUCUUCAAGAGAGGAGGCUCCAGUGGAAGUGUAGAUUGCAAAAUGAAGCAGAG